rnacentral:rRNA from 1 species
AUUGAACGCUGGCGGUAUGCUUAACACAUGCAAGUCGAACGGUAGCAGGCCUUCGGGCGCUGACGAGUGGCGGACGGGUGAGUAACGCGUAGGAAUCUGCCUAGUAGUGGGGGACAACUUAUGGAAACGUAAGCUAAUACCGCAUACGCCCUACGGGGGAAAUCGGGGGAUCUUCGGACCUCGCGCUAUUAGAUGAGCCUGCGUUGGAUUAGCUAGUUGGUGGGGUAAAGGCCUACCAAGGCGACGAUCCAUAGCUGGUCUGAGAGGACGAUCAGCCACACUGGGACGAAGACACGGCCCAGACUCCUACGGGAGGCAGCAGUGGGGAAUAUUGGACAAUGGGCGAAAGACUGAUCCAGCAAUACCGCGUGUGUGAAGAAGGCCUGAGGGUUGUAAAGCACUUUCAAUAGGAAGGAAUACCUAUCGGCUAAUACCCGGUAGACUGACAUUACCUAUACAAGAAGCACCAGCUAACUCCGUGCCAGCCGCCGCCGUAA